rnacentral:rRNA from 1 species
CCUACGGGAGGCUUCAGUGGGGAAUAUUGGACAAUGGGGGCAACCCUGAUCCAGCCAUGCCGCGUGUGUGAAGAAGGCCCUCGGGUUGUAAAGCACUUUCAGUGAGGAAGAACGCCUGGUGGUUAAUACCCAUCAGGAAAGACAUCACUCACAGAAGAAGCACCGGCUAACUCCGUGCCAGCAGCCGCGGUAAUACGGAGGGUGCGAGCGUUAAUCGGAAUUACUGGGCGUAAAGCGCGCGUAGGUGGCUUGAUAAGCCGGUUGUGAAAGCCCCGGGCUCAACCUGGGAACGGCAUCCGGAACUGUCAAGCUAGAGUGCAGGAGAGGAAGGUAGAAUUCCCGGUGUAGCGGUGAAAUGCGUAGAGAUCGGGAGGAAUACCAGUGGCGAAGGCGGCCUUCUGGACUGACACUGACACUGAGGUGCGAAAGCGUGGGUAGCAAACAGGAUUAGAUACCCUAGUAGUC